CAGAUGUUUUGAAAUGGAGAUCCUUCUAUGUCACAGAGGACUAUGCAUAGGGAAGUAUUUGAUCAUGGCAUUCGUGAAGCAUUGUGCUGUCUAGGAUGGUUCAAUUACUUGACUAGCUUUAUUGCAUAGGUAAAUUAUGUGAAGAGCCACUACCAGUACCUGAGGAAAGGAUCCAUGAGGCUGCUCUCUUCAUCCGUUUGCUGAAGCUGCCUAUACUGCAAGGCGUUUUCUCUCCUUGGGCUCAAAAAGGAUAAGUGUAAAACAGCAUACUUCAUUGUUGUUUUGCACCAUUUGAAAACUGUUGUGAUUGCUGUGCGUGGAACUGAGACCCCUGAAGACCUCAUAACUGAUGGUUUAUGCAGGGAAUGCAGCCUUUCUGAAGGAGAUGGCUUAGUAAAGGAAUAUGCAGCCUUUCUGAAGGGGAUUUUGAUGGCUUUAGUAAAGUAUCUCUCUCUCUCUCUCUCAUGAACACAAUUUUUCCUUUUUACUGUCCUGUGUGGUUGCUAACUUACCUUGUUUGAACUAGAGGUUUAAAUUUUUGGGUGAUCAUGGGUCCACAAUGUUGAACUAAGCUUCAAACGGCACUAGAAACAGGUUCACUUUGAUAAAAUAUUUUUAAAAAAUAUUGGGUUAUUCGAGAAAUAUAGGGAUUAUUUUUUAGUUCAUAUCAUAGAAGCAAGCAAAGAAAACAUAGUAUUAUCAAACCUGAUCAAUAGAUGAAGUUCCAGCAGCUGCAACAACCUUGGAUGGGUAUCAACAUUGACAGUGUUGACCCAUUGACCUUGGAUGGGUAUCAACAUUGACAGUGUUGACCCAUUGACCUUUGCUCUGGUAAUCCACUUGAUGUGCAUGACCCAUUUCGUAUGGUAUGUACACCUGGAUGAUCUUCCCAUUGCGGCCCUUGUACUUUCUCCGCACCAUCAUCUAGCAUGCGCAGGGUGCUGAUGAGCGCACCUGUCAGAUCUCUGGAACAAGUACAACGUACAUUCAGUUUCCAUUUGAAAGGAGCAUUUAUCAACACCCUACGCACGCUAGAUGGUGUAGUAAAGUACGCCUUCUGGCACUUCCAGUGAGAGCUGGAAACAUGGGGGUUGUACUUCAUUCUCUGUGUUGGAUAAUGGCAAAGGCGUUGAGUUUUAGCACAAUUGAUAAAUCUAGAUUGAAAUCUGAAGGAAGAACAAGAAACUAAUUGAAGCCUUUGCUUGUGGGGGGAGAGCAUUGAGAGAUGAGAGAGGGAGAAAAGAGAGAGAAAUAAGAGAGUGACGAGAGAUAGGAAUUUGAAAAAUGUCUUUCAACUAAAAACCUAAGAAGACAUUUACCACCAAAGUGAACAUUUUGUCCUUUGACUAGAAUGAAUAUUUUGUGUUGAUUUUAUUUUCUUUGUAGAAUUGUACCCUAAGUAGAAUUGUAGAAAUUGAACAGGUAGAGAAAUGGGUUUAAAAUUAGCAUUUAUGAUGGAUUACAAGUAAAGGUAGCCUUUUUUGGUACAUAUUGGUUGCUAGGCUGCACAUGCUCUAACAUGUGGACAAAUUGACUAAGAAAUUCAGAGAUGAUGUAAAAUAAACAAAUUGCCCAAAUCUGAAUUCCUAAUUCCCAAUUUGAAACAACAACUCCCAAACUUGGCCAUUAAUUUGCUAUUUCAUUACAGAUUAUUGACAGUCGUUAUCUAACAAUAAUGUUAUCCUAAUCAAUUGGAAGGAGAAAUAUAAUACCUAAUAGGGGGUAUUAUAUUGUCAAAUGAUUACUUAAGUGGUAUUAGUUUUCUUUUGUUUGGCAUGCCACCAAAAUGGUGAAAUUUAAUUAGGUUGUGCACACUAUGAUUUGAGCUUUGCAUGUAGUCAUCAUUAGCAGUCCUACAUACAAAUAAAAUGAACUAUGUGCUUUGCACUUUUACCUAUCAAUAU